ACCAUGACCGUAGCCGGUAGCUCUUUCAUUCCCCAAGCUUUCUUCGUCCAUCACAGGAUGCAGAGAACAACUAACAAUGCAUUUUUUUCAGAUCCUCUCUUGGUUUUCCCAAAUCCACUGCGUACAGUUUCAUAUCAAACCGGUUUUCUCACCUCAAAACUGCCGGACCCCUGGCCUUGAUCCUCAAGUUCCGACCCAUGGUUCGGCUGGUUUCGAGGCCCCGCCACAGUGAAGUUCCUCCAGGGCUUGCUGACCAAUGAUGUACGGAGGUUGGAUGACUCCUUGGACAAGAGAACCUCGGCCUUGCCCACGCCUAAUUUGCCCAUCGUGUCUGUUCCUCCCAUGUACGCCUCACUCUUGACUCCUUAGGGAAGGUUCCUGUACAACCUGUUCUUGUACAGGCCACCGAGGCCAAAUGCCAAGCUCGAUAGGAACAGGUCAGAACUCAGGUCUCACUCGGACGAGUCGUUCGAGCUGUUCGUAGAUGUGGAUGCUACUAUUUUGGAUGAGCUCUUGGAGACCUUCGGGAAUAAACAUGCAGACCAUAUCUACAUCUAUUAGGGACAUCACUCCAGCCACCAAAAAUUAAAAAAUCAAAAUGAUUGUCGCGGAAAAGUUGCCAAAACGAGUGGCAAAAAAUUCACCAGGAUAUCAAAAUUUGAUAUUGGUAGACGUUGAGAUAUUGCUUUUCACAAAGCUAGAAAUAUAUUAUUACAAGUAAUCAGAGGGGACCCAUUUCCAAAAAUAUCCAUCCCUCCCCCAACCAAUUUGCAGAAGACCUCCUCAAAAGGGACAUUGCAGACCGAUAUCUUCAACAACAGUUUGCAGACUAGUGAGGCUUUAGCAUUAGAUCAUUGUCAUCAGAAACACUCAAGAAAUAGACACGAAAGUAGUUCUAUCAAGAACUGUGACUAGCUGGCUUAGGUCCUGAAUUACAGCCUCUAUGUUUGGCCUGUGGUUGGGAAGCUCGUGGGUGCACAUCAGUGCAAUUUCUGCCAGUUUAGCUGCCUCGGAUUCAGGGUAUUUGCCUUUCAGACUUGUGUCAACGAAAUCUUGAAAUCUACAAGAUUCAGCUGCCAAUUGCAUUGAGUUGGUGAGUUUCCGCUUCCCGGAUAGAACUUGGAGGAUGAUUACUCCAAAUGCAUAUAUGUCACUCUUCUCAGUAAAACGGCCAGUCGUAAUGUACUCAGGAGCCAUGUAUCCCAUUGCAGCACUGAUUUUAAGAGUUGAGAAGACAACAUCAUCAGCUAGAAGCUUAGGAAGGCCGGAAUCCGAAAUCAAUGGAUUGAACUGCUGGUCAAUGAGAAUCUUCUCAACCGAAAUGUUUUGGUGAAUUACAACUGACUUGUUUUCACUGCUGCUGUGUAAAUACCCAAUACCUGGUUGGAAAAGCACAAUUAAUAUGGAAAUAAACUAACUUUACACUUUAAGCUUUA